GGUGAACGCUAGCGGGAGGCUUAACACAUGCAAGCCGAGGGGUAUGUUUCUUUCGGGAAACAGAGACCGGCGUACGGGUGAGUAACGCGUAUGUAACUUGCCCUGUUCACUGGGAUAGCCCUCCGAAAGGGGGAUUAAUACUAGAUAACAUAUAGAUUGGCAUCGAUUUAUAUUGAAAGAUUUAUCGGAACAGGAUAGACAUGCGUAUGAUUAGGUAGUUGGUAGAGUAAUGGCCACCAAGCCGAUGAUCAUUAGGGGGCCUGAGAGGGUGAUCCCCCACACUGGUACUGAGACACGGACCAG
rnacentral:rRNA from 1 species